UACGUACUGUGCGAACGUUAUUCGGAAUCACUGGGCUUAAAGGGUGCGCAGGCGGCUGAAAAAGCAGGGUGUGAAAUUCUUCGGCUCAACCGAAGAACUGCGCUCUGAACUGUUCAGCUUGAGUGAGAUAGGGGUGUGUGGAACUUCCAGUGGAGCGGUGAAAUGUGUUGAUAUUGGAAGGAACGCCGGUGGCGAAAGCGACACACUGGGUCUCAACUGACGCUGAGGCACGAAAGCCAGGGGAGCGAACGGG
rnacentral:misc_RNA from 1 species